rnacentral:rRNA from 1 species
CCCAAGUAACGGCGACUGAAGCGGCAACAGCUCAAAUUUGAAAUCUGGCUCUCGGGCCCGAGUUGUAAUUUGUAGAGGAUACUUUUGAUGCGGUGCCUUCCGAGUUCCCUGGAACGGGACGCCAUAGAGGGUGAGAGCCCCGUCUGGUUGGAUGCCAAAUCUCUGUAAAGUUCCUUCGACGAGUCGAGUAGUUUGGGAAUGCUGCUCUAAAUGGGAGGUAUAUGUCUUCUAAAGCUAAAUACCGGCCAGAGACCGAUAGCGCACAAGUAGAGUGAUCGAAAGAUGAAAAGCACUUUGAAAAGAGAGUUAAAAAGUACGUGAAAUUGUUGAAAGGGAAGCGUUUAUGACCAGACUUGGGCUUGGUUAAUCAUCUGGGGUUCUCCCCAGUGCACUUUUCCAGUCCAGGCCAGCAUCAGUUUUCCCCGGGGGAUAAAGACUUCGGGAAUGUGGCUCUCUUCGGGGAGUGUUAUAGCCCGUUGUGUAAUACCCUGGGGGGGACUGAGGUUCGCGC